GGAUGAACGCUGGCGGCGUGCUUACCCCAUGCAAGUCGAACGAUGAAGCCCAGCUUGCUGGGUGGAUUAGUGGCGAACGGGUGAGUAACACGUGAGUAACCUGCCCUUAACUCUGGGAUAAGCCUGGGAAACUGGGUCUAAUACCGGAUAGGAGCGUCCACCGCAUGGUGGGUGUUGGAAAGAUUUAUCGGUUUUGGAUGGACUCGCGGCCUAUCAGCUUGUUGGUGAGGUAAUGGCUCACCAAGGCGACGACGGGUAGCCGGCCUGAGAGGGUGACCGGCCACACUGGGACUGAGACACGGCCCAGACUCCUACGGGAGGCAGCAGUGGGGAAUAUUGCACAAUGGGCGCAAGCCUGAUGCAGCGACGCCGCGUGAGGGAUGACGGCCUUCGGGUUGUAAACCUCUUUCAGUAGGGAAGAAGCGAAAGUGACGGUACCUGCAGAAGAAGCACCGGCUAACUACGUG
rnacentral:rRNA from 1 species